rnacentral:lncRNA from 1 species
AAACCCUAGAUCAGAUCCCAUCGACCCCUCCCACCAUCGCACCCCUCCUCCCUCGUCCCCAUCUCCUCGCCGCCUCCGCCACGUCCUCCCCGUCCCCGGCCCCCUCCCGAUCCAGUCCUCUGUCUCAUUCCCCUCGUCCAAAACCACCAACGCGACGGCGCACCCACCCAUCCACCAACGCGAGCUCCUCUCUCCCUCGUCUCUCCCUCUCCCCCGCACCACUCCUCCCUGCCACCACCACCACCACCUAUGGCGCCCGAUCCCGCCUGAAGCCGGUGUCCUCCGGCGGCUCCGAGCACACCACGGUGACCCCAUCCCUCUGAUCCUUCCUCCCAUCCAUGGCAGCGAAUGAGCCAUCCAAAUCGACCCCUAUUCCUCGAGAGCAGCGGCAGCACCACCCACACAUGGCCUCCCUGAUGGCGAGAUCCGGCCUCCGCUCCCUGGCGGCGCGCGCCAGGCCCCCCGCCCUGGCCCCGGUCGGGCGCCGCAUGUCCUCCUCCGCCCAUGACGAUGCCUGUCCAUACACCUCCUGAACCCUCCCUCCCUCCCUCUCUUCUAUCCCCUAAUUCGAUCGGUCGUUUGACGUGGAUUUGGGGAUAAACAACAGUAUUUUGUAGAUGAACAGGCCAAAUGGCUUUACUUUUUCAUUAAAGCUAGUCCCAUAUAGUAUAUUGAUUGACGGUUGGAAUCUAGAAUGGUUGUUAUGAUUUAGGUCUGGCACUGGCAGAGCCUCAGUUGAGUAUAUUAGUUAUAGCAGUAUGGCAUGUUUGUUAUUUUAGAUAGGGAAUCGGCGAAGGAUUCUAGGGUACUUUAUCCUUUUGAAGUUGGGUUUUCCCAUUAAGCAAAGUGCACCUUCUCCAGUUUAUCAUUUCAAAAAUCAACUUGUACAGUAAUGAUUUGUGCACUACCACCAUACGUGGUCUUAUUCUAAUCCUUUUCUGAGAAACAUGACUAUGAUGUCAAGUAGCGUGUUUAAGUUUUUGGAGCAAAAGAGUGAGUGUCCAUAUGAUAAAAUAACACGCUAGCUCAUCUUUUUUCUGCUACCCUAAGGAACCCUGAUAACGAAGUUAUGUGGGAGAUUUCUGUGUUAUAUCAUCUUUAGGCAGACGAUGCAGAUUUUGUUUCUUUAGUGAAGUCAGUCUAGCUCAGAAUGCAUUUGCCAGGACAAGACGGGUAGCGUCUGCCCGUCUAGUAGAUCAGUACUUAAGUACACGCCCUCCCUCUCCUCUGUUCUGACAGUAUGGUAUCAUUCUGUUAGGGGUGAACAUAAUACAAGUCUAAGCAGAUUGUACUAACUACUGAGUACUGCUGCUCAUUAGGACACAUGUUUGCUUAGUUUAAAAACAUGCAUUUUUGCUACAGUUUAUGAUUUUGUUUUGUUUAGCAUGCUUCAUAUAUGAUGUAUAUAUAUUGGAUCUUUCGGUUUUAAUAUAAACAAACAACCCCAUUAAUACAUGGAUAUAGCGAUGUUUGAAGUACAAGUUUGUGGCUUAUGGUACUUCUGCAUUCGUGCUUAUCCGUUGUAAUGAAAACUAUUUCUUUGCAUAUUGUUGUCUUAAGGUGUCUUCGUUGUUGAGUUGGUGUACAAAUACGAUAGGUUGUUUGGGUUCAGACAAAAUACUUCUAUUGCUCCUCUAUUGCUGCACCUCCUCCUGCUUGCCUCUUCUCUGAAUCCACUAAACCUGCUGCUGCACUUCUUCUCCGAACCUCUUUCUUGCUGCUCGCUGCUACUCCUCUCCCCAUCCCCACGCUUACAUCUUAUUCUCCUAACCUCGCUGCUGAUCUUCUCUGAAGUCUGAACCCCCUACUAUUGCUGCUGCUGCUCUCUCUCUCUCUUUCUUUCUCUGUAAUUCAAUAGAACUAGUACUGUAUAAUGAUAUGAUAUGUUUAGUUUUAGACUUGUGCUGUGUGGUUUUAAAUUGCUGAUCCAUGAACUGAAUCGUGGCAUAUGACUCUCUGUUCUUAGGUGUGGUAAUUAGUUACACAUGUCACUUGUGUUCUGCACUUGUUGAAUAAAGGACAUCAAUUUGUAGUACUUGUGUUAGAUUUGUUACUGUGGUACAAAUGUUUUCAAUUUGUAGUACUUGUGUUAGCCGAGCAUCAUCGCUGAUCAUCUAGUCCCCGAGGAGAAACGACAUCCGCUGUUUGUGGGAGAUUCACUUCACUAUAUUUACAGUCGAUCACCUAGUUGCAUUUAUUUACCGCAACAUGCGAUCGUGAUGACACAUUCGUUCAUGUUGUAUUGCUAUUGAUUUUGUCUCUCCCCUGACGGUUUUUGGGCAUUGUUAUGCAGGAGCCAUGGGUUUGACUUAGGCAAAGGGGAUCACCCUCACCGUCUCCUUGUUUUGGCCUCCUCGCGUUUCUGCUCGGCGUCGUUGCAGAAAACAAAAAGGUUUGUGUUGUUUAUCUAUUAUACUACAUGAAUCAUGCAUGCUGAUACACUAUUGUGCAAGUUCUAUGGUAUGUGAGUUUCUUUUAUUGCUGCAAGAAUUGAUACAGUAUGUCAUGUGCAGGGAGCUCCGCAUCCGAGUCUCGGUCAUCUUGUACAGCAAGGAGUUGGGCCAAGGGAGCAAGCAGUGUUGCUGGUCCUUGAGGCCGGAUUCACUAAGAUGGUGCACCACGACGUGCGACACGAGUAAGAGGCAUUUGUAUGAACAAGUACAGUUUUUUUAUUCACAACAUCUAGCUUGUAGAUUCAGCAAUUGCCUUUGCAAGGCCGUCACGGAACUUAUCCAUUGACCUAUCACCCAUGCUUGUUUUUGAGCUACUGCCACUUUGAGCUGUUGUAGGCCUGUAGCUAUUUAUUGCGACUGAGCUGCUAUAUUGCAUUAUUGGACCAAUCGAUUGGCACCUCUUAGAUUCACUAUCAUAUGGAGUGGAUAAAUUUAGAGCGAGCUUACUAGUAAUAUGAGCACUUGUUAGUUUAAUCAGGUAGGGGAUUAGAGUGAAAUGAUCAUGUAGAAGUAGGUACCAUAAAUAUAUGAAUGGCUACAAUCCUUGAGAGAACCUGGCUCUACUUUUGCAAAUGUUCAGUUUACUCAUGAUAUGGUUUCUGUAGCUAUGUGGCGCCACAUUAAACAUCAGUUUGAUGUAAAUAGUGGUCUCAGUUGCUCAGUUUUAGUGCUUCAAGUUGAUGCAUUCGCACAUGCGAACUAUUGAGGAUAUGGUCGCCUUUUUGGCGUAGUAAGCGAUUGGAUUAGGCAAGUUCAAUUAUGCAAUGUCUUAGAUAUUAUUUUUGGUUCUUUGAUGAUUUCAGCAGCUCUGAAAAAUGUUGGGCUGUAUAUUUUGUGAUUGUGUGCAAUUCAAUCAUUAUCUGCACGUUCUUGCUAGCAAAUGUUGUUAGUAGAGGUUAGAAACGCAUAAAUUCUAAUGUUGUGAAUUUAAAUUCUGGGAUUACAUGUUAUUUGCAAUCAGUUAUGACUAUCGGCAUUUAAAUUCCAUUUAUUUGACGUAUUUGAAUUCAGGCCCUUCGAUAUGAAUGGUCAUAUCAAAAUAUAGACAGCCAUAUUGUUUCAAAACGCCGGCACUUGGUGUCUUUAGCUUAGAAAAAAUAGAACCAAAGACUCUUAUGCUCAUUGCAAUGUGCUACAUCAGGAGCACCUUUGUUCCAUAAUGUGUUUUGUUAACAUCCACUUUUGGCUAGGAGUUGUGCUAGCGAAUUACUUCUUGUUGUGCCUUGUUUUCAUCAGUUCUUGUACUGUAGCUCUUACUUAUAAAUGUGGCAAUUCCUCUUUUACAGGAGCUUCAGGCAUAAAAGGAAGUUGGAAGUGCGAAACCAUGAAGAUUGCUCAAGAAAGUGUAGCAUAUUAUAUAUUGGAAUAGUAGACAUAUCUAGGUUGUAAAGAUUGUAAUAGACUAAUUUAGUGUUGUUUUUGACGAAUUUCAUGUGCUCUCUGGUCAGUUUGAAAUAUUGAUUAUGUAUGUGAUUUCAGUACCUGUGAAACGAAAACCUGGGAUCCGCUUAUCAAAACGGGUGACAAGUUUUGAUUUUGUUGUUGUGUGGGACCAGCUAUGAGAUCAACAUGACAAGUGGGACCAAUCUGACUAGUGGGACCAGCUUCAAAAUAAAAUGUCUAAAAAUGUAUAAUAAGUAGACUGUAAAAAGGUU